rfam:Gossypium arboreum cultivar AKA8401 contig_6499_5, whole genome shotgun sequence.
AGGUGCGAUCAUACCAGCGCUAAUGCGCCGGAUCCCAUCAGAACUCUGUAGAUUAAGAGUGCUUGGGCGAGAGUAGUACUAGGAUGGGUGACUUGGUGAGAAGUCCUCGUGUUGCACCCC